AUGGCGUAUUCCAUAUACUUUCUCAAAAUGCAAUUGCUCUCGGAGCAGUUUGAAAUGAGCGAUGCAGAAGCAAAGAACGUCAAGACUAUGGCAACUUUCAUUGCACUGUUUCACAGUAAAGCGUUUCUACAAUCAAGGCUUGCAACGAUAUCUCCAGCUGUGGAUCUAAAAUACUUAUCGAUGAUGUCGCUCUAUCGAAAGGAAAACGAAAUCACCGCAGCAUCAGCUAUCAAAUCUAUUCUCAAUCAUUUGUGGUAUUUGUCGGAAGAAUUGGUUGUAUUUUCCGUUUUUGAUAGAGAGUUAGCUGAAUCUCUGAGGAAAGCAUUAGUUGAAAAGCUAUUAUCCAUUCCUCGUCCAAAGUGCUUUUUACCCGGCAAACCAAAAUUUCCAAAGACUGGCCCUAACGAUUCAAUUGAGUAUCCUGACCAGUUAAUAAGAUUCAUAGGCCCCAACAGUUGGUUACUGUUUGAUUUAUUAAAAAUGAAUGAGGAACAACUUGAUUGGAUGCAGGCACCUGUUUCUUGCUGGGAGAAAAUGAGUGGGUAUAAAAAGCAGAGGCUGUCGUUCGGUCAAUGGAAGUGGUCAAUGACUGUGCUGAGCGUGCUGUUAAAUUAAUUACAGAUUUCAAAGAUGUUGUGGGUAACGUUGAAGAGCAAAAUUAUUUGUUUCAGGUAAUUGAACAACAUCGAGCUCAUUUCAAGUCGUUCAACAAAAGCAGUUUUAAUUCAAUUUGA